rnacentral:rRNA from 2 species
AUUGAACGCUGGCGGCAGGCUUAACACAUGCAAGUCGAGCGGGGGAAGGUAGCUUGCUACCGGACCUAGCGGCGGACGGGUGAGUAAUGCUUAGGAAUCUGCCUAUUAGUGGGGGACAACAUCUCGAAAGGGAUGCUAAUACCGCAUACGUCCUACGGGAGAAAGCAGGGGAUCUUCGGACCUUGCGCUAAUAGAUGAGCCUAAGUCGGAUUAGCUAGUUGGUGGGGUAAAGGCCUACCAAGGCGACGAUCUGUAGCGGGUCUGAGAGGAUGAUCCGCCACACUGGGACUGAGACACGGCCCAGACUCCUACGGGAGGCAGCAGUGGGGAAUAUUGGACAAUGGGGGGAACCCUGAUCC